GUGGGGAAUCUUAGACAAUGGGGGAAACCCUGAUCUAGCCAUGUCGCGUGAGCGAUGAAGGCCUUAGGGUUGUAAAGCUCUUUCAGCUGGGAAGAUAAUGACGGUACCAGCAGAAGAAGCCCCGGCUAACUCCGUGCCAGCAGCCGCGGUAAUACGGAGGGGGCUAGCGUUGUUCGGAAUUACUGGGCGUAAAGCGCGCGUAGGCGGACCAGAAAGUUGGAGGUGAAAUCCCAGGGCUCAACCUUGGAACUGCCUUCAAAACUCCUGGUCUGGAGUUCGAGAGAGGUGAGUGGAAUUCCGAGUGUAGAGGUGAAAUUCGUAGAUAUUCGGAGGAACACCAGUGGCGAAGGCGGCUCACUGGCUCGAUACUGACGCUGAGGUGCGAAAGCGUGGGGAGCAAACAGGAUUAGAAACCCGGGUAGUCC
rnacentral:rRNA from 1 species